AGCAGGAAAGGCAGGGGAGGCAGCGGCGGGAAGCCUUCCUUAGCUGUGUGAUCCUAGAUGGCUGUUAACUUAGCAUUUGAGGACUGUCUCAGAUAGACACAAUUGGACCAGAUUUUGUACCAUAGAAAAAAAGGCUUUACCCACUCAAACAUCCACUGUUUUCAGCAGACAGAGUCCUAAGUGGAUGCCUGAUUGGCUGAUCCUGGGACACGUGCCUGCUCACUGGAUGUACUGAGGCUAUGAGAAGAAGGAUCUGGCAAAACAAACCUCAGGGACCUCAUCAAGAAGGCAGAGGACCUGGACUAACCAUGACAUCCAAACUGAACACAAUUUUAGAGAUAAUUCCCACAGAAGAGACAGGAUUUCUAGAAAAUGGAAAUAGCCCGCUCUUGGAAAAGAAUGGGCAUUUACUGAGAUGCAACUAUAAGCUGGUGAAAUAUAAUUUUGUUUAAAAUCAUUUAAUUUUAUUCCACAUCAUUUUCCUUUGAAGAUAUUUGAAUUGCCAGGGACAUUAAUAUUGUCAAGGAGAUUUGCUGUUUCACCCAAAUAUGAGAUGUCCACUUUGGGAUUAGAUCCCUGCCUCAUUCAAAUUUCCUUUUCCCUUAGUCUUUUCUUGAGUUACGGACAUUUGUUCAUUUUUUUCAACUUAUUCAACAAGUAUUUAUUGAACAACUACUAUGUGCCAUAUACUGUUUUUGGUUUGGUAUGGAAAGCCUGUAGGAAUCUCUGUUGUAAUUUUGGGAAUUUGCCCAACCUGCUCUUUAGGUGGUGCUAUGAACUGACUUGUGUGCUCCCAAAAUUUAUCUGUUGAAGCUCUAAGCUCCAAUGUGAUGAUAUUUGGAGAUGGGAUCUUUGGGAAUUAAUUAAGGUUAGAUGAGGUCAUGAGGAUGAGGCCCUUAUGAUGGGAUUAGUGCCCUUAUAAGAAAACACACCAGAGUGCCUGCUUGCUCUCUCUCUCUGCCAUGUGAAGACACAGUAUGAAGGCAGCUUAUUGCAAGCCUAAGAGAGAACCCUUGCCAGAAUUGGACUUCCGGUCUCCAGAACCAUGAAAACAUAAACUUCUGUUGUUUAAGCCACCCAGUCUACGGAAUUUUGUUCUAGAAGCCCAAGCUGACUAAUAUGGUUGGAGUCCAGUGCUUUGCGUGAAGAAGGUACAUCUCUAAAACUAAACAUUUUGCUCAUUGAAGCUUGAUCUGAAAUAAUUAAGACUUUGGUCGUGAAAAUCUUAGACAGAAUCCAUUCAGUGACUACCUUUAUUCUGAAUUGGCAGGCAGGCAGUUCUGAUAGAUCUGAGAAGAUUCUUUUGACAACAAUUUCUCCAACUUCAGAUAUGUUGAAAAACAAAAUAAAUAUGUUAAUAAUUAACAUGAUGUAAUGAACUUCAGUAGUAAAUUAAGACUAGAAGAGAUUAGGGGUACCAGGAAUCUUGGUUGUAAAGUGGCAUAUAUAAACAUAGUUGCAUCAAAACUUGCUAAAGUGGCCAGGUGCAGUGGCUCAUGCCUGUAAUCCCAGCACUUUGGGAAGCCGAGACAGGUGGAUCACCUGAGGUCAGGAGUUUGAGAUUAGCCUGGCCAACAGGGUGAAACCCUGUCUCUACUGAUAAUACAAAAAUUAGCCAGACAUGGUGGCACACGACUGUAAUCCCAGCUACUUAGGAGGCUGAGGCAGGAGAAUCGCUUGAACCUGGGAGGCAGAGGUUGCAGUGAGCCGGGAUCGCACCAUUGCACUCCAGCCUGGGCAACACGAGCAAAACUCUGUCUCAAAACAAAAC
rnacentral:lncRNA from 1 species